CUUGGUUUUGCCCUCUUUUUGACAUAGAAAUUUGAUUGUCUUCUGCUUAGACAUUCUAAGGCACCUUUCUGGUUUUCAUUCUUUUUUCUGAUCUAACAUUGGGUUAGUCAGGAAACUGCCAACUUUGCCUCACAGUCGAAAUUAAACACUGCAAUUCAAACUGAGAGGACAUCAAUGGGCAGGAAAAAAAUGAGGUCUCAAAAUGGUGUUUUUGUAAAUGUCACUUCUACAGGGUCUUGCACGAGGAAUUGAGUUAGGAAAGCAGUCAAUGAGUCUGCAAGAAAAGAGAAGGUCUUUCCAGAAGUCAGCCUAAAAAGGAAGAAAAAGAGUGGAAGAGAGAGCAAAAAGAGAAUGAACUGCAUAACCAUAAGGAACUUAGGAAGCUGAGAGAAACGAGCACCUGGAUCAUUGUGGAGACUGAGAAAAUACUGUGUGACGAGGCCUUAACACUUACGUGGAGAUUUAUAGCUGCUGUUUCCAAUAACUGCACGGUGAUUUCACCCACAAAUAAUAGUUUCUGUGGAGACAGCUAACCCAUGCUGCUAAGUGUGCCUCUUCCCAGGUUGCAGCAGCAAAACAGACUCAAAGCAGCUUGGGCUCGGUACAAGAAGCAGAAAACAAAUGCUCGCUUGGAAACCUUGUCCAGGCAGACCCUUCUUCUCUGGCACUGAAUGGCAUCCACUUGGCAGCAGCAAGGAAAGCGAUGGGACUUGACCAUCACUUGAAAAACUCUUUCGCCCUGGGUCUGUCCUGUGUUUCCAGCUGCAGAACUGAUCUCCCUAAAGAUGAGGGCAGCAAAACUGUGGCCUUUCUAUGCCUUACCCUCAGUGGCCCCAGUUUUAUUAGAAGAAAGUCUGAGCAGGAGCCAGUAGCUUCAUUCUGGUCUAAUCUCAAGAUAUACCCAUGAAGGUGCUCAUCUGGUGGCAGGCCUCUAGUCCAGGCAGGGACCAGUCACACACUGCUUUCCUUGGCCCCUGAGGACAAGCUUCCCAAAGCUUACGGAGGAGCUACUUAGGAGAACGGACAGCGAGGGAAGAAAGGUCAGCAAAUCCAUGUUAGAUGAUAGCACAGAUUCCUCGGCUACAAAACGCAAGGGCCGAGCAGAACAAAGAGAUUUGCAUUCUAAGUGAUGCAAAGCAGCCAGCAGCGUUUUAAUGUUGUGUUUGCUCUGUGAUGUCUUCAUCAGGCGCUCAAAGGCAGCGGCUCUGGCAGCCGUGGGUCCCUGUGAGCCUGUCAAACUCCGUUUCCAUGGUUUUCCUUCAGGCAGCACCAUCGGCAGACAGCACGGAAACGGACCCCUGCAACCUGUUUUGAACAGUGUCUCUGAUGUAGGGCCCCAGAGCGGGCAUCAAACUAGCAACAAGCAGCAAGAAAAUAACAAUUUUGCUUUUCGCAGGUGUCAGAACGGCAAACAAAAGGCUGUUUAUAAAAGAUGCAACAUCCCCUUUUUGUCGGUGUUGGCAGUUUAAAGUCAGCUGGGCAGCCGUUAAGGAGGAGGUUUUGGAUGGGGUGUGCUGUGAGAGGGAGCUCGUCUUGAGGAAUUCCAAUUGUUUCCUCUUGCAUCCUUUAGCCUCACUAAACAGGGCCUUCUCAUCGCUGAGCUAAUAGCUAUUAAUGCUGUUUCAAUUAUUCUGUUUGUGUGAAUGACCAGGGCUAUUUUUUAUAAUUAUAUGCAUACAUAUAUUUCCAGACAAAGAAAGCGUAAGGGUCUCAUUCUUCCUUACCUUGAAAAACAAACAGUUCAGAACACGUUAAGCAUCUGAAGCGGUAUUUCAGCACUGAAAGAGACCAGUUUGUUACCUGUACUGGCAAGAAUGGACACUCAGUGCCACAGGGCUCACAGCCUGUGCUUGUGAGCUGUGCAGGGUUACCUGGGAGCUUGCAGCACAUGACCCACACACUCAUCUGGGGCUUCCAGGGCACAGCUCCUUGCUUCACACAUCCACCUGGAGGUCAGCAGGCUGUACGGAUGGCAGGCCAGGAUUCCUGGUUCCUCUGAACCUCGACGUUUGCAGCUCCUUUUCAGAGUUCUAUUAAGAAUACAAAACAGUGUAAUUCCAGCUCCUCAAUUCUUGCUGCCCACUACCUCAGAAACACAGUCUUGUUCUUUUUAAUGGAAAAUAUUGAAAUGCU
rnacentral:lncRNA from 1 species